rnacentral:lncRNA from 1 species
GAAAUUUACAAAGAAACAAAAAUGAAAUUAAAAGAGGGAGUAAAACUGAGGGAUCGAAGGCGCAAAUAGACCAUCAGACCCAAAACGCGCGGAUCCUUCCCUCGGGUCGGGUCACCGCGUGGGUCACAGGCCUUUAAACGGCGCCAUUUCACAUCACGCAUUUAAGCCAAAUUUCUGUUUAAAAAAAACAUUUGCAUCAAAAAAGAUAAAAAAAAAAAGAAAAGACUUAAACUCUCUGCUAGGGUUUUGAAACCUAUCCCAGUGCCGCCGCGGAUCCACUACUCCUUCGCCAUAGCUCCGCCAUAGGCGGUGAUUUGAGCGGACGAGGAGUCCACAGACCGCCAGGUAAGUUUCUCCUUCAACUCCCC